rnacentral:rRNA from 1 species
UACGUAGGGUGCAAGCGUUGUCCGGAAUUAUUGGGCGUAAAGAGCUCGUAGGCGGUUCGUCGCGUCGGCUGUGAAAACCCGGAGCUCAACUCCGGGCCUGCAGUCGAUACGGGCGGACUUGAGUGUUGCAGGGGAGACUGGAAUUCCUGGUGUAGCGGUGAAAUGCGCAGAUAUCGGGAGGAACACCAGUGGCGAAGGCGGCUUCCUGGACCAGCACUGACGCUGAUGCGCGAAAGCUAGGGGAGCAAACAGG